rnacentral:rRNA from 1 species
CGCACGAGAAAUCUUGCCGCAAGGUGAGAGAGUAAAGUGGCGAACGGGUGAGUAAUGCAUAGGUAACCUGCCCUUGAGAUUAGGAUAACUCCGCGAAAGCGGGGCUAAUACUGAGUAAUGUUGUCUUGGCGCAUGCCAUAACAACCAAAGCCGAAAGGCGCUUGAGGAGGGGCCUAUGUCCCAUCAGCCAGUUGGUAGGGUAAUGGCCUACCAAAGCUAUGACGGGUAGCCGAUCUUAGAGGAUGACCGGCCACAUUGGGACUGAGACACUGCCCAGACUCCUACGGGAGGCAGCAGUAAGGAAUAUUGCGCAAUGCCCGAAAGGGUGACGCAGCGACGCCGCGUGGAGGAUGAAGGCCCUUCGGGGUUGUAAACUCCUGUCAGAGUGGGAAGAAAUUCCGGAGCAAUCCGGAUUGACCUGCCCACCAGAGGAAGUGCCGGCUAACUCCGUGCCAGCAGCUGCGGUAAUACGGAGAGCACAAACGUUGCUCGGAUUUAUUGGGCGUAAAGGGUGCGUAGGCGGCCAAGCAAAUCAGGUGUGGAAUCCUGCCGCUCACCGGCAGAAGUGCACUUGAAAAUACUUGGCUAGAGUACAAGAGGGGUGAGUGGAACUCUAGGUGGAGCGGUGAAAUGUGUAGAUAUCUAGAGGAACGCCGGAGGCGAAAGCGACUCACUGGUUUGUAACUGACGCUGAGGCACGAAAGCUGGGGUAGCAAACGGGAUUAGAUACCCCGGUAGUCCCAGCCCUAAACGAUGGAUACUAAGUAGGGGUCCCACCUGGGGUCUCUGCCGAAGCUAACGCAUUAAGUAUCCCGCCUGGGGAGUACGGUCGCAAGGCUAAAACUCAAAGGAAUUGACGGGGGCUCGCACAAGCGGUGGAGCAUGUGGUUUAAUUCGACGCAACGCGAAGAACCUUACCAGGGCUUGACAUGCAAGUAGUAAAGAGAUGAAAGUUGAAUGAACCGUAAAGUCGGUUGCUUGCACAGGUGCUGCAUGGCUGUCGUCAGCUCGUGUCGUGAGAUGUUAGGUUAA